rnacentral:rRNA from 1 species
GAUGAACGCUGGCGGCGUGCCUAACACAUGCAAGUCGAGCGAAGCGCCUUACUUGAUUUCUUCGGGAUGAAAGUAUUGUGACUGAGCGGCGGACGGGUGAGUAACGCGUGAGGAACCUGCCUAUUAGAGGGGAAUAACAAUGAGAAAUCAUUGCUAAUACCGCAUAAGCUUGUAGUAUCGCAUGGUACAGCAAGAAAAGGAGUAAUCCGCUAAUAGAUGGGCUUGCGUCUGAUUAGCUAGUUGGUGGGGUAACGGCCUACCAAGGCGACGAUCAGUAGCCGGACUGAGAGGUUGAACGGCCACAUUGGGACUGAGAUACGGCCCAG